CAGCAGCCACGGUAAUACGGAGGGUGCAAGCGUUAAUCGGAAUUACUGGGCGUAAAGCGCACGCAGGCGGUCUGUCAAGUCGGAUGUGAAAUCCCCGGGCUCAACCUGGGAACUGCAUUCGAAACUGGCAGGCUAGAGUCUUGUAGAGGGGGGUAGAAUUCCAGGUGUAGCGGUGAAAUGCGUAGAGAUCUGGAGGAAUACCGGUGGCGAAGGCGGCCCCCUGGACAAAGACUGACGCUCAGGUGCGAAAGCGUGGGGAGCAAACAGGAUUAGAUACCCCUGUAGUCCCUGUCUCUUAUAA
rnacentral:rRNA from 1 species